rnacentral:rRNA from 1 species
CUUUAUCGGAGAGUUUGAUCCUGGCUCAGGACGAACGCUGGCGGCGUGCCUAAUACAUGCAAGUCGAGCGGACAGAUGGGAGCUUGCUCCCUGAUGUUAGCGGCGGACGGGUGAGUAACACGUGGGUAACCUGCCUGUAAGACUGGGAUAACUCCGGGAAACCGGGGCUAAUACCGGAUGGUUGUUUGAACCGCAUGGUUCAAACAUAAAAGGUGGCUUCGGCUACCACUUACAGAUGGACCCGCGGCGCAUUAGCUAGUU